GACGAACGCUGGCGGCGUGCCUAAUACAUGCAAGUAGAACGCUGAAGGAGGAGCUUGCUUCUCUGGAUGAGUUGCGAACGGGUGAGUAACGCGUAGGUAACCUGCCUGGUAGCGGGGGAUAACUAUUGGAAACGAUAGCUAAUACCGCAUAAUAGCAGUUAUUGCAUGAUAACUGUUUGAAAGGUGCAAUUGCACCACUACCAGAUGGGCCUGCGUUGUAUUAGCUAGUUGGUGGGGUAACGGCUCACCAAGGCGACGAUACAUAGCCGACCUGAGAGGGUGAUCGGCCACACUGGGACUGAGACACGGCCCAGACUCCUACGGGAGGCAGCAGUAGGGAAUCUUCGGCAAUGGACGGAAGUCUGACCGAGCAACGCCGCGUGAGUGAAGAAGGUUUUCGGAUCGUAAAGCUCUGUUGUAAGAGAAGAACGAGUGUGAGAGUGGAAAGUUCACACUGUGACGGUAUCUUACCAGAAAGAGACGGCUAACUACGUG
rnacentral:rRNA from 1 species